GAUGAACGCUGACAGAAUGCUUAACACAUGCAAGUCAACUUGAAUUUGGGUUUUUAACUUAGGUUUGGGUGGCGGACGGGUGAGUAACGCGUAAAGAACUUGCCUCACAGCUAGGGACAACAUUUGGAAACGAAUGCUAAUACCUAAUAUUAUGAUAAUAGGGCAUCCUAUAAUUAUGAAAGCUAUAAGCGCUGUGAGAGAGCUUUGCGUCCCAUUAGCUAGUUGGAGAGGUAACGGCUCACCAAGGCGAUGAUGGGUAGCCGGCCUGAGAGGGUGAUCGGCCACAAGGGGACUGAGACACGGCCCUUACUCCUACGGGAGGCAGCAGUGGGGAAUAUUGGACAAUGGACCGAGAGUCUGAUCCAGCAAUUCUGUGUGCACGAUGAAGUUUUUCGGAAUGUAAAGUGCUUUCAGUUGGGAAGAAACAAAUGACGGUACCAACAGAAGAAGGGACGGCUAAAUACGU
rnacentral:rRNA from 1 species